rnacentral:rRNA from 1 species
CCUACGGGUGGCUGCAGUGGGGAAUAUUGCGCAAUGGGCGAAAGCCUGACGCAGCGACGCCGCGUGAGGGAUGAAGGUCCUCUGAUCGUUAACCCUUUUAGGUGGGGAGCAAUGCCGCGCACGCGUGCCCGGAGGGAGAGUACCCGCAGAAUAAGCAUCGGCUAACUCCGUGCCAGCAGCCGCGGUAAUACGGAGGAUGCGAGCGUUAUCCGGAUUUAUUGGGUUUAAAGGGUGCGUAGGCGGAUGUUUAAGUCAGCGGUAAAAUGUCCGGGCUCAACCCGGGCCGGCCGUUGAAACUGGGGAUCUUGAGUGAGCGAGAAGUAUGCGGAAUGCGUGGUGUAGCGGUGAAAUGCAUAGAUAUCACGCAGAACUCCGAUUGCGAAGGCAGCAUACCGGCGCCCGACUGACGCUGAGGCACGAAAGCGUGGGGAUCGAACAGGAUUAGAUACCCGAGUAGUC